rnacentral:rRNA from 1 species
CAGCCGCCGCGGGAAAACGAAGGGGGCUAGCGUUGCUCGGAAUCACUGGGCGUAAAGGGUGCGUAGGCGGGUCUUUAAGUCAGGGGUGAAAUCCUGGAGCUCAACUCCAGAACUGCCUUUGAUACUGAAGAUCUUGAGUUCGGGAGAGGUGAGUGGAACUGCGAGUGUAGAGGUGAAAUUCGUAGAUAUUCGCAAGAACACCAGUGGCGAAGGCGGCUCACUGGCCCGAUACUGACGCUGAGGCACGAAAGCGUGGGGAGCAAACAGGAUUAGAUACCCGUGUAGUCCCUGUCUCUUAUAC